rnacentral:piRNA from 1 species
UGAAGAGCAAGCUGAAGCAAGAGAA